GGUGGGAUGGCAGAGUGGCCGAAUGCGCCGGUUUUGAAAACCGGUUUGUCGCAAGGCAACGGGGGUUCGAAUCCCUCUCCCACCGCCA
rnacentral:tRNA from 1 species